UACGAAGGGGGCUAGCGUUGCUCGGAAUCACUGGGCGUAAAGCGCACGUAGGCGGAUCGUUAAGUCAGGGGUGAAAUCCUGGAGCUCAACUCCAGAACUGCCUUUGAUACUGGCGAUCUUGAGUUCGAGAGAGGUGAGUGGAACUGCGAGUGUAGAGGUGAAAUUCGUAGAUAUUCGCAAGAACACCAGUGGCGAAGGCGGCUCACUGGCUCGAUACUGACGCUGAGGUGCGAAAAGCGCGGGGAGCAAACAGG
rnacentral:rRNA from 1 species